rnacentral:rRNA from 1 species
GAGUUUGAUCUGGCUCAGGACGAACGCUGGCGGCGUGCUUAACACAUGCAAGUCGAACGGUAAGGCUCCAGCUUGCUGGGGUACACGAGUGGCGAACGGGUGAGUAACACGUGGGUGACCUGCCCUGCACUUCGGGGAUAAGCCUGGGAAACUGGGUCUAAUACCGGAUAGGACCGCACCGUGAGGGUGUGGUGGAAAGUUUUUUCGGUGUGGGAUGGGCCCGCGGCCUAUCAGCUUGUUGGUGGGGUAAUGGCCUACCAAGGCGGCGACGGGUAGCCGGCCUGAGAGGGUGGACGGCCACAUUGGGACUGAGACACGGCCCAGACUCCUACGGGAGGCAGCAGUGGGGAAUAUUGCACAAUGGGCGGAAGCCUGAUGCAGCGACGCCGCGU